UACGGGGGGGGCAAGCGUUGUUCGGAAUUACUGGGCGUAAAGGGCUCGUAGGCGGCCAACUAAGUCGGACGUGAAAUCCCUCGGCUUAACCGGGGAACUGCGUCCGAUACUGGAUGGCUUGAGAUUGGGAGAGGGAUGCGGAAUUCCAGGUGUAGCGGUGAAAUGCGUAGAUAUCUGGAGGAACACCGGUGGCGAAGGCGGCCACCUGGACGGUAACUGACGCUGAGACGCGAAAGCGUGGGGAGCAAACAGG
rnacentral:rRNA from 1 species